rnacentral:rRNA from 1 species
CGGGUGAGUAACACGUGGAUAACCUACCUAUAAGACUGGGAUAACUUCGGGAAACCGGAGCUAAUACCGGAUGAUAUUUUGAACCGCACGGUUCAAAAGUGAAAGACGGUCUUGCUGUCACUUAUAGAUGGAUCCGCGCUGCAUUAGCUAGUUGGUAAGGUAACGGCUUACCAAGGCAACGAUGCAUAGCCGACCUGAGAGGGUGAUCGGCCACACUGGAACUGAGACACGGUCCAG